GCCGGGCGUGGUGGCUCACGCCUGUAAUCCCAGCACUUUGGGAGGCCGAGAUGGGUGGAUCACCUGAGGUCAGGGGUUCGAGACCAGCCUGGCCAACAUGGCAAAACCCCAUCUCUU
ensembl:misc_RNA Metazoa_SRP Metazoan signal recognition particle RNA